rnacentral:rRNA from 1 species
AGCGUAGGCGGACAUUUAAGUCAGGGGUGAAAUCCCGGGGCUCAACCUCGGAAUUGCCUUUGAUACUGGGUGUCUUGAGUAUGAGAGAGGUGUGUGGAACUCCGAGUGUAGAGGUGAAAUUCGUAGAUAUUCGGAGGAACACCAGUGGCGAAGGCGGCUUACUGGUCCAUUACUGACGCUGAGGUGACAAAAGCGGUGGGGAGCAAACA